rnacentral:rRNA from 1 species
AACGAACGCUGGCGGCAGGCCUAACACAUGCAAGGUCAGGGGGAAGCCACUUUCGGGUGGUGGAGACCGGCGCACGGGUGAGUAACGCGUGGGCAUCUGCCCUGGGUGGGGGAUAACCGCUGGAAAACGGCGGCUAAUACCGCAUACGCCUUGAGAGGGAAAGAUUUAUCGCCCUGGGAUGAGCCCGCGUUGGAUUAGCUUGUUGGUGAGGUAAAGGCUCACCAAGGCGACGAUCCAUAGCUGGUCUGAGAGGAUGAUCAGCCACACUGGGACUGAGACACGGCCCAGACUCCUACGGGAGGCAGCAGGUGGGGAAUAUUGGACAAGUGGGGCAACCCUGAUCCAGCCAUGCCGCGUGUGUGAAGAAGGCCUUAGGGUUGUAAAGCACUUUCACCGGUGAAGAUGAUGACGGUAGCCGGAGAAGAAGCCCCGGCUAACUCCGUG